UGGGCUCAAGGCCCUAUUGACUGUGAGGACAGGCGGCAUCCGGGACCUGACAGGGCCCGUGGAGAUUGUUAUGUUUCACGAGGGAACACGACGGCUAGUUCCUAACAGCACUGAAGCCUUCAGGUUGAAGCGCUGACAUGAUGGCUGCAGCCCUCCUGGACCAGCAGGUGGAAUUUGCAAGUUGAAGAUGCUGGAGCAAUAGGAUGGGAGAGAGGGAGCCUGAGCCCUGACGUCAUGGAGCCGCCACUCCAGCCCUGGACCUACUGUACUUACGUGAGAGAGAAAUCAGCUUCAGUUUUGUUUAACUCUUUUUGUGUGUGUGUGUGAGGAGAUCAGCCCUGUGCUAACAUCUGCCAAUCCUCCUCUUUUUGCUGAGGAAGACUGGCCCUGGGCUAACAUCCAUGCCCAUCUUCCUCUACUUUAUAUGGGAUGCCUCCACAGCAUGGCUUGCCAAGCAGUGCAUUGGUGGCGCCCGGGAUCCGAACCUGCGAACCCUGGGCUGCUGCAGCGGAGUGCGCGCACUUAACCACUUGCGCCACUAGGCCGGCCCCUUUAACUCUUUCACGUGGACUUUCUGAUAUACAAUCAUAGUAUGGCUGUGAUGGUUUACUCACUCUUCAGGUUGCUCACCAAAGGCAUCCCACUCUACUUUUACAUGGUCCUUCCAGUGACAACACAGGAGUGUCAGGGAGGAGAAGCGAUGCCUCAUUAUCUGGAAAUGCUUCUCAAAAGGCAUCUGUCCCUUCUAGGUGCUAAGAGUGAGGCCAGCAGAACUACCUUCUUCCUUUAUCUCAUAGCCCUAGAACAGUACUAAGAAGGACCAGCCAUAGGGGGAAAAAACCCACUUAAGGUGGAUUUGUAAGUUCCUAAAGCCUUUUUCACCUUACAUUCCUGCUGUAACGAGUUACGUUCUUGAAAGUUGCUGAGAGUAGAUCUUAAGCAUUCUCACCACAUACACACACACACAUACACACACACACACACACACAGAGUUAACUGUGGUAUGUGAGGUGAUGGAUGUGGUAAUUACCUUGAUCUUGUAAUCAUUCUACAAUGUAUAUAUAUAUCAAAUCACUACGUUGUAUAUUUUAAAUAUAUACAGUUAUAUUUGUCAAAAAAAGAAUUACGUUCAGUUUUCAA